GUCUAUAGCCAUGCCACCCUGAAUGUGCCCAAUCUAGUCUGAUCUCAGAAGCUAAGCAGGGUCGGGCCUGGUUAGCACUUGGAUGGGAGACCACCUAGGAAUACCUGGUGCUGUAGACG
rnacentral:rRNA from 1 species